rnacentral:rRNA from 1 species
UACGAAGGGGGCUAGCGUUGUUCGGAUUUACUGGGCGUAAAGCGCACGUAGGCGGAUCGGUAAGUCAGGGGUGAAAUCCUGGAGCUCAACUCCAGAACUGCCUUUGAUACUGGCGAUCUUGAGUCCGGAAGAGGUGAGUGGAACUCCUAGUGUAGAGGUGGAAUUCGUAGAUAUUAGGAAGAACACCAGUGGCGAAGGCGGCUCACUGGUCCGGUACUGACGCUGAGGUGCGAAAGCGUGGGGAGCAAACAGG